rnacentral:rRNA from 1 species
CAAAAGCGUAUAUUAAAGUUGUUGCAGUUAAAAAGCUCGUAGUUGAACCUUGGGCUUGGCUGGCCGGUCCAUCUUUUUUGAUGCGUACUGGACCCAGCCGAGCCUUUCCUUCUGGCUAGCCUUUUGGCGAACCAGGACUUUUACUUUGAAAAAAUUAGAGUGUUCAAAGCAGGCCUUUGCUCGAAUAUAUUAGCAUGGAAUAAUAGAAUAGGACGUUAUGGUUCUAUUUUGUUGGUUUCUAGGACCAUCAUAAUGAUUAAUAGGGACGGUCGGGGGUAUCAGUAUUCAGUUGUCAGAGGUGAAAUUCUUGGAUUUACUGAAGACUAACUACUGCGAAAGCAUUUACCAAGGACGUUUUCAUUAA